GUGUUACAUGUGAAAUGACAGCCUUUAGAUGAGGUGGCACGUGGCCUCAUCUCCUUAAUUCAAACAUCCAAUCCUAGGCACCAUCCUUGACUUGCUAGCUUGCUGCGCAUUUAUUACUUGUGCAGAACAUCCAUGCUGGUGAUAAGACUUGACAUAUGCACUCAUGAUAAACGUUCCAUCAAUCAUUCAAACAAGAUCUUUAUGUAGAAGAUCUCUUGGGAGAGAUGAUCAUGGAAGACGUUCGUUCAUGGUUCAGAGGUUUCUGCCGCUCAUGUAGUACUUCUGCUUCAGGGUUUCGGCAAUCUUCAUAGGCCUCGGUUUAAGGAGUUCGGCUACUUUCAAGGCCUCGGUAUAUGGGCCUCGGCCAUACAGCCCACUUCGGUUGGAGUGCCACGUGGUUCGAAUUGAGUGGGUCAUAGGCCCACGUAGGUUGGCCAAGUAUGAAAACACAUAACAAUAGUCCCCCAAAUCCAAGUAUAGUCAUUUAUGUGAUGCGUGGACUUUAAUGAAGUAAACCAGUAGGCUCACGUAGGUUAGCCAAGUAUGACAACACAUAACAAUGAAAUUUCCAAAUUAACAAAAAUAUUCUUUUUAUGGGGCAAGAAGGAGAUGUUGAUCAAACUUUAUAGAUUGCACAUACUCUUUUGCUUGAGAUUUUAAAGAAGAAAUUAAACUAUGAACAGAUCUGGGUAGGGGAAGAAGGUGAUAUUUUUACCAUUUUUCCAAAAUUGUUUUUAAUUUUUUAUGUUGAGUUAAUAUACAUUUAAUUGUUUUAAAUAAUACGUAUUUGUACUUUUUGAAAAUUUGCAAGACUUCAUGUGCAUUUUUUCCUUGGGGUCCAUUUGAUAACAAAGAUGGAAUUUGGGGGAAAAGAAAAUGAAUUCCAUGGAAUUAAAUUGGCUAAAAAUUAUUUUACUGUAAAUUGUCAAUUAUUGGUUUAAUUGGUAUAAUUUUUCACGUGAAAAAUGUUGAAAUUAAAAUAUUUUUUGGUGUUCGUUUUGUUUUGUUUUAUAUGAAAAUUGUCAAUUAAAAGGAUAGAAU
rnacentral:lncRNA from 1 species